UACAGAGGGGGCAAGCGUUAUUCGGAAUUACUGGGCGUAAAGGGCGCGUAGGCGGCCUUCUAAGUCGAACGUGAAAUCCCUGGGCUCAACCCAGGAACUGCGUCCGAUACUGGGAGGCUUGAAUCCGGGAGAGGGAUGUGGAAUUCCAGGUGUAGCGGUGAAAUGCGUAGAUAUCUGGAGGAACACCGGUGGCGAAGGCGGCUACCUGGACCGGUACUGACGCUGAGGCGCGAAAGCUAGGGUAGCAAACAGG
rnacentral:rRNA from 1 species